rnacentral:rRNA from 1 species
AUGGGCUGCGCGUCGUCGUCGCCGUCGCCGUCGAAGCGUGAGCAGCGCGCACAGGGGUACCAGGAGCCCGCCGUCCUCGCUGCCGAGACCUCCUUCACGGCGAACGAGGUGGAGGCGCUGUACGAGCUCUACAAGAAGCUCAGCUACUCCAUCUUCAAGGACGGCCUCAUCCACAAGCUUAGGGAGAUGGUGGUGGCACUUCUCGAUGAGUCGGACCUAUGUCUCUCGGAUAGCGCCGUCGACGAGAUCGUUGACUAUACGUUCGGUCAAGCAGACUCGAACGGUGAUGGGAGGAUAGACCCCAAGGAAUGGGAGGAGUUUGUCAAGAAGAACCCAACGUCACUCAGGAACAUGUCACUGCCCUAUCUCCAGGACAUCACGACGUCGUUUCCGAGCUUUGUAAUGCAUUCGGAAGUCGAAAAUUACGAUGGAGUCGGCAAAUAA